rnacentral:rRNA from 1 species
GACGAACGCUGGCGGCGUGCUUAACACAUGCAAGUCGAACGAAGUGGCGAACGGGUGAGUAACGCGUAAUCAACCUGCCCUUCCGAGGGGUACACCCGUUGGAAACGACUGCUAAUACCGCAUACUGAAGGGUGUGAUUGCGUCUGAUUGGCUAGGUGGAGGGGUAAAGGCCGACCAAGGCGAUGAUCAGUAGCCGGGCUGAGAGGAGGAACGGCCAAAUGUGGAAUGAUACACGGCCCAGACGCCGACGGGAGGCAGCAGUGGGGAAGCUUCCGCAAUGGACGAAAGUCUGACGGAGCAACGCCGGGGGAGUGAUGAAGGCUGUCGGGUGGUAAAGCUCUGUUAAUCGGGAAGCGGUACCGGAAUAGAAAGCCACGGCUAACUACGUGCCAGCAGCCGCGGUAAUAC